rnacentral:rRNA from 1 species
CCUACGGGUGGCAGCAGUGGGGAAUAUUGGACAAUGGGCGAAAGCCUGAUCCAGCCAUGCCGCGUGUGUGAAGAAGGCCUUCGGGUUGUAAAGCACUUUCAGAGGGGAAGAAAGCCUUGGGGCUAAUACCCUCGAGGAAGGACAUCACCCACAGAAGAAGCACCGGCUAACUCCGUGCCAGCAGCCGCGGUAAUACGGAGGGUGCGAGCGUUAAUCGGAAUUACUGGGCGUAAAGCGCGCGUAGGCGGUCUGAUAAGCCGGUUGUGAAAGCCCCGGGCUCAACCUGGGAACGGCAUCCGGAACUGGCAGGCUAGAGUGCAGGAGAGGAAGGUAGAAUUCCCGGUGUAGCGGUGAAAUGCGUAGAGAUCGGGAGGAAUACCGGUGGCGAAGGCGGCCUUCUGGACUGACACUGACGCUGAGGUGCGAAAGCGUGGGUAGCAAACAGGAUUAGAUACCCCAGUAGUC